rnacentral:rRNA from 1 species
UACGGAGGGUGCAAGCGUUGUUCGGAUUGACUGGGCGUAAAGCGCACGUAGGUGGGUUUGUAAGUCGGUUGUGAAAGCCCCGAGCUUAACUUGGGAAUUGCAACCGAAACUACAAGUCUUGAAUAUUCGAGGGGUUGGCGGAAUUCCAGGUGUAGGAGUGAAAUCCGUAGAUAUCUGGAGGAACAUCAGAGGCGAAGGCG